rnacentral:misc_RNA from 1 species
AAAUGCGAUAAGUAGUGUGAAUUGCAGAAUUCAGUGAAUCAUCGAAUCUUUGAACGCACAUUGCGCCCCUUGGUAUUCCAUGGGGCAUGCCUGUUCGAGCGUCAUUUGUACCCUCAAGCUCUGCUUGGUGUUGGGUGUUUGUCCCGUCUCCGCGCGUGGACUCGCCCCAAAGUGAUUGGCAGCCGGCGUACUGGUCCCGGAGCGCAGCACAUGUCGCGCAAACGAGUGCCUUGGUACGGCGGCGUCCAUAAGCCCCUCUCUCACGCUCUUGACCUCGGAUCAGGUAGGGAUACCCGCUGAACUUAGGC